rnacentral:rRNA from 1 species
GACGAACGCUGGCGGCGUGCUUAACACAUGCAAGUCGAACGGAAAGGCCCUGCUUGCAGGGUACUCGAGUGGCGAACGGGUGAGUAACACGUGGGUGAUCUGCCCUGCACUUCGGGAUAAGCCUGGGAAACUGGGUCCAAUACCGGAUAGGAGCCAUUUUUAGUGUGAUGGUUGGAAAGUUUUUUCGGUGUAGGAUGAGCUCGCGGCCUAUCAGCUUGUUGGUGGGGUAAUGGCCUACCAAGGCGGCGACGGGUAGCCGGCCUGAGAGGGUGGACGGCCACAUUGGGACUGAGAUACGGCCCAGACUCCUACGGGAGGCAGCAGUGGGGAAUAUUGCACAAUGGGCGCAAGCCUGAUGCAGCGACGCCGCGUGGGGGAUGACGGCCUUCGGGUUGUAAACUCCUUUCGCUAGGGACGAAGCUUUUUGUGACGGUACCUAGAUAAGAAGCACCGGCUAACUACGUG